rnacentral:misc_RNA from 1 species
GAAAUGCGAUAAGUAUUGUGAAUUGCAGAAUUCAGUGAAUCAUCGAAUCUUUGAACGCACAUUGCGCCCGCCAGUAUUCUGGCGGGCAUGCCUGUUCGAGCGUCAUUUCAACCAUCAAGCCCCCGGGCUUGUGUUGGGGACCUGCGGCUGCCGCAGGCCCCGAAAACCAGUGGCGGGCUCGCUGUCACACCGGGCGUAGUAGAUUUUUCGUCUCGCCCAGGGCGUGCUGCGGGUUCCGGCCGUUAAAAAGCCUCUCUUUUUAACCCAAGGUUGACCUCGGAUCAGGUAGGAAGACCCGCUGAACUUAAGC